GGAGGGUGUAGCUCAGUGGUAGAGUGUGUGCUUAGCAUGCACAAGGUCCUGGGUUCAAUCCCCAGUACCUCCA
rnacentral:tRNA from 1 species